GAGUUUGAUCAUGGCUCAGAUUGAACGCUGGCGGAAUGCUUUACACAUGCAAGUCGAGCGGCAGCGCGGGGCAACCUGGCGGCGAGCGGCGAACGGGUGAGUAAUGUAUCGGAACGUAUCCUUGAGUGGGGGACAACUAGUCGAAAGACUAGCUAAUACCGCAUAAGCUCGGGAGAGGAAAGUGGGGGACCGCAAGGCCUCACGCUGAAGGAGCGGCCGAUAUCCGAUUAGCUAGAUGGUGAGGUAAAGGCUUACCAUGGCUUUGAUCGGUAGCUGGUCUGAGAGGAUGAUCAGCCACACUGGGACUGAGACACGGCCCAGACUCCUACGGGAGGCAGCAGUGGGGAAUCUUGGACAAUGGGCGCAAGCCUGAUCCAGCCAUGCCGCGUGAGUGACGAAGGCCUUAGGGUUGUAAAGCUCUUUUGCCGGGGACGAUAAUGACGGUACCCCGGAGAAUAAGUCCCGGCUAACUUCGUGCCAGCCGCCGCAGUAAC
rnacentral:rRNA from 1 species